rnacentral:rRNA from 1 species
GAUGAACGCUGGCGGCGUGCCUAAUACAUGCAAGUCGAGCGAACAGAUAAGGAGCUUGCUCCUUUGACGUUAGCGGCGGACGGGUGAGUAACACGUGGGUAACCUACCUAUAAGACUGGAAUAACUCCGGGAAACCGGGGCUAAUGCCGGAUAACAUUUAGAACCGCAUGGUUCUAAAGUGAAAGAUGGUUUUGCUAUCACUUAUAGAUGGAUCCGCGCCGUAUUAGCUAGUUGGUAAGGUAACGGCUUACCAAGGCAACGAUACGUAGCCGACCCGAGAGGGUGAUCGGCCACACUGGAACUGAGACACGGUCCAGACUCCUACGGGAGGCAGCAGUAGGGAAUCUUCCGCAAUGGGCGAAAGCCUGACGGAGCAACGCCGCGUGAGUGAUGAAGGUCUUCGGAUCGUAAAACUCUGUUAUUAGGGAAGAACAAAUGUGUAAGUAACUGUGCACGUCUUGACGGUACCUAAUCAGAAAGCCACGGCUAACUACGUG